GUCAACACAAAACGUACGACGGUACGAGCGACAGCCCAGCCGUAUGACUGACGAUCCAUCUCAUCUUCCACCUCUAGCACGCCGCACCCCUGCCACGCCGCCGGUCUAAGCCCCUACCCUACCCCAAGUCCCCCACCCUCGCGGCCUUCCACCGCCGGCGAGACUCCACGGUGCGGUCGUUGCCGGCUCCCCCCGCCUCUGCUACCACGACGCCGCCGGGAAUCUUAUCCCCCGCCAUGCGAGUUGUCAUGGAGGCGGAGCUGAUUCGCCACGGGUGUGAGGGCGGGGGUAAAGACGAUGGUGCACUUGGAGGCACUGGGACGGGGUAGCGAGGUGAAGAAGAAGGGGUAGAAAGCAGUUGCGGUGCGUGUGUGCCUCACCUCCAUUGUUUUGUGACCAAGCCCACCUGAAAUCUAGGCGGCAAAUUAUUCAUGGAUAUGUGGUACAAACCAUCCUUGUGAGAAAUCCAACGGAUUCGAUGAGGACUGAGGAAGGAGCCGGAGGAGGUGGUGGGUUGAGGAAGGAGCUGGAGCAGAGGCGGCUUUGAGGCUGCCCCUACACGCACUAAGAGGCAGGAGGAAAAUAUGAGGCGCCGGCGAUCCGGACGUUGCAGUGUUUUCUUCGUCUCUCCUGGUGCGAGACCAGAAAUUCAGAGGAUGUGCAAGAUGAAACAUGGUGCAUGAGGCUUCAUGAGCAUAAUUGUAAGGAUUACAAACUUUCUUAGGAAAACCAAUACAACAGUGAUAAAUAUAAUUUCAUUUAUAGCUCAUGUUUUGAACUGUAUUUUAUAUGCAAUUUCGAUAUCAUGGUGGAACACAAAAUUUAAAUAGAAAAAAAUAAUACUGGCCAAUGUAUAUUUUUCAAGUUCAGAUAUAUAUACAUGCUUAACUAAAGUACGCACAGUGCAUACUGUGGAAUCACAUGACAAAUAUUCAUGCUUUACUAAAUGCAUCUGCUCCAUUUUGGCAUAUGUGAAUCUCUUUUGGGGAUAGUUCUGUGUGGCCUUGGAUCAAUCCUGAACUGGUUGGUGUUAUAUACCCAUUCUCUUCACAUGACCCAAUAGGUAUUAGAGAGGAACAUGUUACUUUGGUUACUUUUAUCUCCAUUUUACGCAAUUUAGCUUGUUGCAACUGUGGUUUUAUGCUGCAGUUGAUAAUAUCCUUUUAGUUAGAUGGCAAUCUUCCUCUAUCCUUUUCAUUGUACUAUGUUUUUGAAGCUCUGAUGUUUAUUUGAAAAUAGAAACUAGCAAAAUUUUGUUUGCCGCUGCUUGGUCAGGCAAAGCCAGCUGUUCGUUACUGUGUGCGGUUCUCUUGCCAUUUUAUGGGGUGCAACUGGAACUGGCAGAAGACUGUAGUUGUGUCGUUGUCACAUUUACUGAUUUGAUGUUUCUUUUCAAGAUUAUAGUAUUUGUUUACCAAUUUCUUUCUUCUAUUCCUUCUAGAUAAUUUGCUUCAGUUCUACUCCCUCCAUUCUGAUUUACUCGUCGUGGUCGAGUAAAUCAGAAUGGAGGGAGUACAUGGUGAAACAUGCAUAUUGUUUCCCGAUAUAUUGGGCAUCAGUCCACCUCUCAUGAGAUCUCUGAAUUUUCAACCCAUAUUGUGUUUGCUGAAUUAUUUCCUCUAGAUAACUAUGCUUGGAUUAAAAAAUGUGUGCAAUUGCUUUCAAAUGGAGGUUAUUUCUUUACUAAUUCUGUGCUAUUCCACUUUCAAGCUUUUGGACCUAGAAGUGUAAUACUAGCUAGGUUAGCUGCAGAAGCGGGAUUUAUAUGGCCUGAAUUUUUAUUUCACAGUGUAUAAACUGAUUCAAAGUAUUUCUGACUCCUUGCGUUCUGAAACAUUUUGUUGUAUGGUUCUGUCUUGAAAGAAUUGAAGCAAUUUUUCUAUGGGAGAUAAUAUGAAUGUGAUUCCGAAACAACAUGCAGUGUCAUUAAGUUUCUUAUUUACCAACUUAAACAUGGUCAGUAAUAGCACAACUAAAGUUUCUGAACAUAUCAUUAUAGAACUGUUGGCUGGAUUGUGUUUUGUAUGGAUUCUUCAAGGGACAUUUCUAAGGAAUUACAAGUUAGUUUUACAUUUUUCUAGCCAUGCUCAUUGUCUUUGGAUUGCCAAUGCUCGGAUCGGUUUGUGAUCAAGUGGACACAACGACUACCGUUAGUGAGGGUUAAGUAAGGGGUGACCUGAGUGGGCGCCGUGUUGAGAUACACGAUGUUAGUUGAGAUAGAGGAUGUUAGCAUGUGGGGAGGGGGUCUUGAGCCAUGCUUAUUUUUGGUCUACGUCUGUGUGAUAUGUUUUUUUUCGUAGCAACGCACGGACAUUUUUGCUAGUCUUUCCCUAAUCUUUUCCUAAUUUUUUAUAAUAAUAAAGCAUGGAUUAACUCCGUGGGUUCACCGUCACAAUACGCUUCUUCCCGUGAUUUUACGCUUUCAGUUUUACAGUUUUAAAUUAAAAUGUAUUCGAGGUGGUACGAAAUUGUGUGUGGUUCUCUGUUGCGGCGUAUUUUCAGAAAAGCCCCUUACGUUUUGAAGAAUCAACCCGCAGUCCUUUUUUUAACUGGCUAACUGAGAUAAUGUUUCAUUGUUGCAAAAACGUCCAUGUAGUUUAGUAUAUUCACCCCGCAGUCCUUUAAACAAACACAUCACAACAGAUCCUCUUCCUCUUCCCCAUGCACGAGUGGGCGCACCGCCGCCGCCACCGCCUUCCUCGCGGAGUCUGCGAUCGAAGGAUCGGUUGGGGCGCACCGGGUCUAGGCCGGCCUUCUGUGGGGCGCAGUGCGAGCUCUCGGCUCGGGGCAGGAGGUGGCUCGAUGAAGAGGAGCUGGGGCACGGCGCUCCUCUCCUGGUGUGGCGCACGAGGGAAGGAGGAGGGGAUCGACCCAAGACAGGAGCUGAGGCCGGCGGCGCCCUUCACACAAGCCUCACCGGCGGUGCCCUCUACACAAGCCUCACUGGCGGUGCCCUCUACACAAGCCUCACCGGCGGUGCGGCGGGAGAGCUCCUACCCGUCCAUAGGUGCGGGGAUGCAGAUCCGCGUCGCCAGCCUGUACUAGGCCGAGGUUGACACGCCGGUGCAGGGGUCACCGUCCAUCUUCGUCAGGUAAGCACGGACGUUCUUCUCUCUGUCGUUGUUGCGGUGCUUGGGUCGCGAGGAGGCGAUGCGUGUUUGCUUUGCUGUAGGUGCUUUGGCGCUGUAGACAACACCUCUGGUUCUCCUCCAUGCUCGCAGGCCUCCAGAGUACUCUAGCAACAGCCACUGGACGGCAGGGUGGUGACUGGGAGGCUGGGACAUGCUGGCACGGUCAAAUAGCCGGUUCACUGUGAUCAGGGUGCUAGAGGCUCUUGGGGUCGCAGCCCGCUCGCCUGCUGGAGGUACAAUGUUGAUUAUUUAGAGACCUCAUCUUCAUGAGACUAGCAAGGGAUGGACAUUCUGAAGAAGAGGAGAUGAGGACCACUGAAUCACGUUGUGGUGCGGGCGCCUUGAUCUCGCAUGCGGCUGUCUAAAGCCCUAGGGGCCAACCUCGCUCGAGCGUCACCGGCCAGCUCUCUUUUGCACAGGAGAAAAUGUUCAUAAGGAUUGGUAGCACGGACUGGAGAAUCGUCCGAACCAUCGUGGACACACCAGGGGCAGGGGCUGCAUGCUGCCAAGGCCGAGGCGACUGCCAAGAAGACUGGGCUCGAUGUAGUGACCAAGGAGGCACAACGUAUGCUCUUCUAAUUAGUAUGAUGAUUUGCAUAUGUAACAGUGCUACUCUCAAUGGAUUUGCUAACAAUCUUCAUAUUUUCGCAUUUGCUAACAGUAGCUUAUAUGUAUGGUAUAUGUGUCUUGGAAUCUUGGUAGUGGUUUAGUGGUUCUUCCUGUUAAGUUGUGCAUAUGAGGUACAACUCUUUCUCCACAUGGGCCUUACAGGUCAUAAUACCUUUACAAGUACCGUGCUAAUAAAAAGUUUCUUGAUUACGUUUAUUAUUAUUUCCAUUGCACUAUACUUUAUUUCAUUCCAUUGCUCUCCAUUAUUUUGGUAUCAAGUUCUACAAAUGCAUGUUCUGGUACAAUAUUUGUUUUUUCGAAUGCUGUCUUUUUUGCUAAUAAAUCUAUGGUCCAAUCUGGAUUCAAAAUCUAAGAAAUUUAUGGCCUUGUGUAAAUAGUUGCAGUUAUACUAUGAUGGAUUGUGUCUACUUUUUUAUGGAAAACAGAGAAGCCGAUUAUUCUGUUUGGAAGACGGGUAUCCUAAAUUCUAAUUCAGUCAUUAGUUGAUACAACAAUGUCCUCCGCGAAACUGUGAUCCGGGCGAGCCUAGCUUAGCUUGGGACCACUGGAGAUUGUGUGGUGCAAGGGAGACAGACUCCAACGGAUAUUGUGUCAUGCUCACCGACAGCAACAUGGAUAGUGAGGUCAUUGCCCUACAUGAUUGCCCUGUUUCCAAUAUGUUGGGUAGUCCUAUUUGGUUGAUUGUAUCUAUAGUAUGUUGGAAGCAGAUGUAACCUCAUUGAUUUUCACAUUAGAGGCCUCUUCAAUAUAUCUGAUCUUUCUGUAUGAGGAGCCUACAGUUUGUAAUGUUCUAUUUCUUUUGUGAAACCCCCACAAGUUGUAUAUGAACCAUAUGCAUUAGACAUUCCCACAUGUAUUUAUUCUUUUUUU